rnacentral:rRNA from 1 species
GUUUCAGCAGCCGCGGUAAUACGAAGGGGGCUAGCGUUGCUCGGAAUUACUGGGCGUAAAGGGCGCGUAGGCGGAUAUUUAAGUCAGGGGUGAAAGCCCGGGGCUCAACCUCGGAAUUGCCUUUGAUACUGGAUAUCUUGAGUUCGGGAGAGGUGAGUGGAAUGCCGAGUGUAGAGGUGAAAUUCGUAGAUAUUCGGCGGAACACCAGUGGCGAAGGCGACUCACUGGCCCGAUACUGACGCUGAGGCGCGAAAGCGUGGGGAGCAAACAGGAUUAGAUACCCUCGUAGUCC